CCUCAGUCAUGUCUAUUCUAGCUUAUUAACUACAGUGGCUGACAGGGGCAAACGGCAUGCAACUUAAGAAAACACAUGCAAAUAGACAAAAUAAAAGCAAAUUAAGAAAACAUUAAUUUGACAGCGCAUGCGCAGCAUUUAACAAACGUGCUGCAAAUACCGAAACAUAAAAUACAGAAAUGAAAAGCACACAAACCCCGAAAACAGA